UUUUUUGCGCUUCUGGCGAAGUACCUUGGCCGUGCCAAGAAACAAAAGCUGCUAGAAAGCGGGGAGAGUCGGCUUCCAGUUUUACCUCUAAUUGUUUUUGAGAUUUCAUGUAUAUAUGUGUAUAUAUAGUGCAAGUGGCAGUGAUGCGAGGAAGCUAUGCCUCCAGCUGGAGCAGCUGGCGACAGAUGCCCCUCCAUCACCCCUCUGCGCUAUGUGAAUGUAUGCCUACCCCCCCCCGCCCCGCUCAGCGAUAAAGCCGCCAGAAUAUUCAGAGAUAGGAGACCCUUCUUCCCGUGCCCCCCCCUAUUUUUUUCUCAGACGGCACACAAAAGAUGCAACCCCCCCCCAAAAGGGUCCACUUGAUUCCUGUCAUGGUUUGACAACGCGUAGCAAAGUAAAUGGUGUUUCAGCAGCAACACGAGUGAUACGUGUCGAAUGGCAGCCAUGCAAUUUGAAUACUCCUCUGGACGUUGGUAGCCUUCCCGAUCGGACCGUCCCAUAUAAGAGAUACGAAAGUACCUGAAUGGAAUUCAAAGUGACAUACAUGCUCCUUGAAAGAGAUUGCACAGAUACUGGUUGGCUUAAAGACAGCAUUAUCUCUCUCUUUCUUCUUCACUUGGAACCAAAAAGAGAUGGGAGUUGGGGGAAAAGAAGGAAAGAAAAAGCACCAUGAUUUUCCAAAGAAUCUUCAAAAACAGAUGAGCAAUGAUUGUGUAAGAAGAAAGCCUAGCACUGCAGAAUCACACAAAAUAUUCUCACAGCAAAAGUUCAGGAUGAAAAGGGCAGUUUUUGUUCCAAACUUAAAUUUGAAAUUCAAGUGAAAUGGAUCUAGAAAAUAAUUUUCACCCAAGAAUGAUGGAAUUGGUAAGCAACAAUCUGCUUAAAUGUAUGUUUCUGGAAGGAAUGCCCAACCGCCCUGUUUGUUCUGGCCUAUUUUUGAGGCCAGGGAAGAUGGCAAAGGAUUGCUGAAGAGCAUGUCAGCGACCAAUAUCUUCUCUUGUACUGUGGUAGAGCAGAGAAGAUGACAUGUCAGCAAAGACCUCAUCAACUUGAUGGAUGGACGGUAUCUAUACUGCUAUUCUCUGGCAUUGAAAUAGGGAUCCAGUACUUGUAUUUGCAGCCCAAAGACAGUCCUGUCUUCUAGGUUGGAAGGUUUUAUUUCCCUCCUAAAGAAUAACAUUUUUUGAGGCACAAGAAUGACUUUCUCUCCAAGAAAGAAUUUAUAAAUGUCCAAGCAGAACCAGGCAAUUCUUCCACAGUAUAACAAAUUAAGAUAGACAAAGUUCAAGUAAGCAGAUGGCUGUCUGAAUGUCUCCAAAUGUGGAUUCCAACUGACUCAUGUGCUCAGUCCAAUUCAAGUGAUUGUAACAAACAGUUCCAAUAGUUAAGCAGAAUAAAAAAUGAGAGUUAUGUUGAUAUACCCUUAUAUUUAAUUACAUUAAACCUUGUUUGUUACUUUAACAAACUUCAAUCUUUUACAUGGGAGGGAUUUAAUGAGGCUUAAGUUUUAGUACAUCUGCACAGAAUUGCAAUGCCAGUCAUCCAGUUUGAAGAGAUAGCUUCAAAGCCUUUGGCAGUCUGCCUUUGUUCUCAUCAGAAAUCUUGGCUCCCUCACUGUUCACUCUUAAUUCUAGAAUUUAAUUUACAAAAUUGAAGAUAUCCUUGGGAAUUCCAUUUCUUCCUGAUUGUCAUCUUAUGUGUCAGUGUACUCCCAUUAUUAGUGAUUUAUUUGGUGAACCACACUUAAACUAUGGCCUAGCAUGAUAUGGGAGGCAUUACCUGCUUGGUUUUCUGAAAACAUUUUUAUAAUGUCCUUUCACCAAACACUCCUGUGUAAACCUAGAAACAACUAGAUAAGAGGAUAUAGAACAAAAACAUCAUUAAGAGGCUUUUUGAAAGUCCAAAGGUCAUGAGUUCAUACAUACCAGGACAUGAUUUCUUGGACAUGGUUUCCUGAAAAAUAUAAUUAGCUAAAUUCACAUAUUGGCCUUAUACACUGUGGUUACACACACCACAGUGUUAUCUUUUUAAGUUAUCUAACUUAAAAAGCCAUACUAAACAUGCCGUAUUAGCAAAAUUUUGGAUCCCAGACAAGAUUUAUCAAACUAGAUAUAUUGUUUUUUUAUACUUUCUUUAAAAAAAAAGUUCUGUGAGACAAAUAAGUCUUCAGUUCUCAAAACAAAACAAUUUUUUUCAUCAAAUUUAUUUCAGAACUUUAUCAAUAAUGCUUUUCAUCAAUAUAUCAGAAUAUACAAUAUACAGAACUGUUGUUUUUUUUAAAUAUAUAUCUUCCUUGGCUUUUUUUCUUUUAAAAAAAUCAAAUCAGUAUUGUAAUGGCUACUUUCCAAUUCUCACACAAAGGUGCCAAUUUCAUGGCUAAGCUGCAUAUUUCUGUUAGAAGUUCAGCAGUUUCAAAUUAAUUUAAGAAGGUUUAGGUGGAUGUCAUCCAGAUUUCAUGAAUAGUUAUUUUUUAAAUUUUGUUUUUAUGGAUUAGUCAUUAUUUGCUUUAUCUAUGUCAGAGUUGGUUCAGCUGUAGUGCAACUUCCUCCAUAGCCAAUUUCCUGCUUCUAAUAUAUUUUUAAAAAUCAUAAAUUACUGCUACUGUUACUGCUUUUUGCAAUAUUCGAAUUUUGCAGUUCGUGUUGACGGGGGCAGAGGUUGACUUCGAGGCGCCUUGCAUGGGGAGUGCCACAGGGGUCGGUCCUCUCGCCCCUUCUGUUCAACAUUUAUGUGAAGCCUCUGGGUGAGAUCAUCCGUGGUUUUGGGGUGAGAGUCCAUCUGUACGCUGAUGAUACUCAGCUGUACAUCUCCACCCCAGACCACCCCAACGAUGCCCUUGAUGUGAUGUCUCGCUGCCUGGAGGCCGUGCGGGUCUGGAUGGGGAGAAAUAGGCUCAGACUCAACCCCUCCAAGACCGAGUGGCUGUGGUUCCCGGCGUCGCGAUAUAGUCAGCUGGUGCCAUUGCUGACUAUUGGGGGUGAGUCUUUACCCCCCACAGAGAGGGCCCGCAAUCUGGGUGUCCUCCUGGAUGCACGGCUGUCUUUAGAAGAGCAUAUGACGGCCGUGGCCAGGGGGGCUUUUUAUCAGGUUCGCCUUAUCCGCCAGUUGCAGCCCUUUCUGGACCGCGACGCCUUGCGCACAGUCACUCAUGCCCUUGUUACCUCCCGACUGGACUACUGCAAUGCUCUCUACAUGGGGCUCCCCUUGAAAAGCACCACUCCAACUGGUCCAGAAUGCGGCCGCGCGGGUGGUUAUGGGCGCAACUCGUUGUGCCCACAGGACACCCCUCCUGCGUGAGCUGCACUGGCUCCCAGUGGUCUUCCGGGUGCGAUUCAAGGUGUUGGUUACCACCUUUAAAGCGCUCCAUGGCAUUGGACCUGGAUACCUUCGAGACCGUCUUCUGCCACCAGUAGCCUCCCACUGGCCAGUUCGCUCCCACAGAGAGGGUCUCCUCAGGGUGCCAUCGGCCAAAUUAUGUCGGCUGGCGACACCCAGGGGGAGGGCCUUCCCUGUGGGAGCCCCUGCCCUUUGGAAUGAUCUGCCCCCAGAAAUUCGUAAAAUCUCUGAUCUCCGUGUGUUUCGCUGUGCCCUCAAAACCAUGUUGUUCUGCCAGGCUGGGCUAUCAAUGUAAAGAUUUUAAUUGGUUUUAAAUAGGAUUUUAAAUUUGGGGUUUUAUAAAUUGGGCCUAUUAUUUAAUAAUUUUAAUUAUUUUUAAAUUUUGUCUGUCUUUGUGUUUUUAAUUAGGCUGUACACCGCCCUGAGUCCUUCGGGAGAAGGGCGGUAUAGAAAUAAAAUAAAUAAAUAAAUAUGUCUCAAUACAUUUUUUUCACCUGCCUUAUUAUUAAAUAAUAAUAUUUUGCCAGAGUGUGUAUUCAAUUUUCUUUUUCUCAUUUGAACAAUUUCUGAAGGAAAUCUUCUACACUUUUAAGGCUUCCUUGAAGCUGGUUGUUUUCCAUGGUGGCAUUUUCUUUCCUAAUCUAACGUGUACUCUAAAUAGUUGAGUUUUUAUUGUAAUAUUAAAUUUUACCCUCAUUUGUCUGUUUGUUUUUUUAAAUGAAUCUUGUAAUUCUUUAAAACCAUUUUCUUUUGAAGUCAGCUAUGACUUGUCAGAUGUUAUUGCCAGUGUUCCAAUAAAACAUAUACAUGUUA